UAACACGUGAGCAACCUGCCCUGGACUCUGGGAUAAGCGCUGGAAACGGUGUCUAAUACCGGAUAUGAGCCACGGCCGCAUGGUCGGUGGUUGGAAAGAUUUUUUGGUCUGGGAUGGGCUCGCGGCCUAUCAGCUUGUUGGUGAGGUAAUGGCUCACCAAGGCGUCGACGGGUAGCCGGCCUGAGAGGGUGACCGGCCACACUGGGACUGAGACACGGCCCAGACUCCUACGGGAGGCAGCAGUGGGGAAUAUUGCACAAUGGGCGGAAGCCUGAUGCAGCAACGCCGCGUGAGGGAUGACGGCCUUCGGGUUGUAAACCUCUUUUAGCAGGGAAGAAGCGUGAGUGACGGUACCUGCAGAAAAAGCGCCGGCUAACUACGUGCCAGCAGCCGCGGUAAUACGUAGGGCGCAAGCGUUAUCCGGAAUUAUUGGGCGUAAAGAGCUCGUAGGCGGUUUGUCGCGUCUGCUGUGAAAUCCCGAGGCUCAACUUCGGGCUUGCAGUGGGUACGGGCAGACUAGAGUGCGGUAGGGGAGAUUGGAAUUCCUGGUGUAGCGGUGGAAUGCGCAGAUAUCAGGAGGAACACCGAUGGCGAA
rnacentral:rRNA from 1 species